UACGUAGGGUGCAAGCGUUAAUCGGAAUUACUGGGCGUAAAGCGUGCGCAGGCGGUUUUUGUAAGUCUGUCGUGAAAGCCCCGGGCUCAACCUGGGAAUUGCGAUGGAGACUGCAAGGCUUGAAUCUGGCAGAGGGGGGGUAGAAUUCCACGUGUAGCAGUGAAAAUGCGUAGAGAUGUGGAGGAACACCGAUGGCGAAGGCAGCCCCCUGGGUCAAGAUUGACGCUCAUGCACGAAAGCGUGGGGAGCAAACAGG
rnacentral:rRNA from 1 species